AUUGAACGCUGGCGGCAGGCCUAACACAUGCAAGUCGAACGAGUGGCGGACGGGUGAGUAAUGUCUGGGAAACUGCCUGAUGGAGGGGGAUAACUACUGGAAACGGUAGCUCAUACCGCAUACCAUCGGAUGUGCCCAGAGGGGAUUAGCUAGUUGGUGGGGUAAGGGCCCACCUAGGCGACGAUCCCUAGCUGGUCUGAGAGGAUGAACAGCCACACUGGAACUGAGACACGUCCCAGACUCCUACGGGAGGCAGCAGUGGGGAAUAUUGCACAAUGGGCGCAAGCCUGAUGCAGCCAUGCCGCGUGUAGGAAGAAGGCCGUCGGGUUGGAAAGUACUUGCAGCGGGGAGGCGUUACCCGCAGAAGAAGCACCGGCUAACUCCGUGCCAGCAGCCGCGGUAAUUC
rnacentral:rRNA from 1 species